UACAGAGGUCCCAAGCGUUGUUCGGAUUCAUUGGGCGUAAAGGGUGCGUAGGCGGCGCGGUAAGUCGGGUGUGAAAUCUCGGAGCUUAACUCCGAAACUGCAUUCGAUACUGCCGUGCUUGAGGACUGGAGAGGAGACUGGAAUUUACGGUGUAGCGGUGAAAUGCGUAGAUAUCGUAAGGAAGACCAGUGGCGGAAGGCGGGUCUCUGGACAGUUCCUGACGCUGAGGCACGAAGGCCGGGGAGCAAACGGG
rnacentral:rRNA from 1 species